GUGCCAGCCGCCGCGGUAAUACGUAGGGUGCGAGCGUUAAUCGGAAUUACUGGGCGUAAAGCGUGCGCAGGCGGCGUCGCAAGUCAGGCGUGAAAUCCCCGAGCUUAACUUGGGAAUUGCGCUUGAAACUACGAUGCUAGAGUGUGGCAGAGGGAGGUGGAAUUCCACGUGUAGCGGUGAAAUGCGUAGAUAUGUGGAGGAACACCGAUGGCGAAGGCAGCCUCCUGGGCCAACACUGACGCUCAUGCACGAAAGCGUGGGGAGCAAACAGGAUUAGAUACCCUUGUAGUCC
rnacentral:rRNA from 1 species